rnacentral:rRNA from 1 species
GGUAAUUCCAGCUCCAAUAGCAUAUAUUAAAGUUGUUGUGGUUAAAAAGCUCGUAGUAGAACCUUGGGCCUGGCUGGCCGGUCCGCCUCACCGCGUGCACUGGUCCGGCCGGGCCUUUCCCUCUGUGGAACCGCAUGCCCUUCACUGGGUGUGCCGGGGAAACAGGACUUUUACUUUGAAAAAAUUAGAGUGCUCCAGGCAGGCCUUUGCUCGAAUACAUUAGCAUGGAAUAAUAGAAUAGGACGUGUGGUUCUAUUUUGUUGGUUUCUAGGACCGCCGUAAUGAUUAAUAGGGACAGUCGGGGGCAUCAGUAUUCAAUUGUCAGAGGUGAAAUUCCUGGAUUUAUUGAAGACUAACUACUGCGAAAGCAUUUGCCAAGGAUGUUUUCAUUUAUCAGGAACGAAAGUUAGGGGAUCGAAGACGAUCAGAUACCGUCGUAGUCUUAACCAUAAACUAUGCCGACUAGGGAUCGGACGAUGUUAUUUUUUGACUCGUUCGGCACCUUACGAGAAAUCAAAGUGCUUGGGCUCCA